AGGAGGUGGAGGAGGCGCGGAGUUCCCGCGGCUCCCGGAGAGGCCACGGCGAGGCGUCCCCGACGCAACCCCCGGCUUCCCGUCCGGCGCGGGCCGGUCUCCACCGGAAUGUCUGGAGAACGCAGAACCGCCCGCCAUCAAAAAUGCAAUCUGUUCCACAACAGCUUUGAAGCGUCAAAUUGACAAUCAGCUAAGAAUAGGUGCAAAAGCCACAUCAUACAGUGGAACAAUCAAUGGAGGUUCAUCAAACUGAGUUCCACAUGGAAGAAUCUGGACAGAAGUUCUCUCGUCUGCUGAUGGUUAUCUGCCUUUCGUCACAAACAAUCCAGCUGAAAUGCUUUCUUACAACAUAUGCUUUUAUACAGCAUUCGUGAAAAGGUAAAUUAUUUAUUGAAAACCUCAAUUCCACAUUAAAUCUGGAGUUAUAAACAACAUAGAGUAACCUUUAAUGUAGCCACUGAUUAAAUGGAGACCAGGAUUAAAUGGCUCACCGGGUGAGGGGACUUCCUGUCAAACCAAUCAGUUCAGUGGAACAAACAACAAGCAGACAUGUUGC